rnacentral:snoRNA from 1 species
CCUCCCUGGCAAUGAGCAAAGAGAUACCUUGUUGGUGGUGGUGUUCUUAUAUCAGUCAGGGGCAGAGCAGAUGGUAGUCCUUUGUUCAUCCUAGUUUGAUGCCUGGGUUGGUGGCCACAGCUGUUUAUGUCUAGGAUAUAUAA